rnacentral:misc_RNA from 1 species
AAGUCGUAACAAGGUUUCCGUAGGUGAACCUGCGGAAGGAUCAUUAACACGUAUCCAACGUUAAACCCCCCGUGAACUUUUAUUGCGAACCACGCCUUUGUCUGCGAAGAGAGCGGUUGUAGCGCGAGGUAAGUGGCCUGGCAUUCCUCUGCUUGUUAGUGUCUGACAGUGUCACUAGCUCUGUACGAAUGGCGCAGUCACGAUCGCUAGAGGCCGACACGGCCGGCGACCGGGUCACCGGGCAUAGACCCCCCUAUCACCUUUGCAUGAAAACGGGCCUGCGCUUAAUUGUGCGGCCACCAAACUCGAACAACUGUUAACAAUGGAUAUCUUGGUUCUC